rnacentral:rRNA from 1 species
ACGGGGCGCAGCAGUGGGGAAUUUUGCGCAAUGGGGGGGACCUUGACGCAGCGACGCCGCGUGGGUGAUGAAGGCCUUCGGGUUGUAAAGCCCUGUUGGGGGGGAAGAUAAUGACGGUACCCCCUGAGGAAGCUCCGGCUAACUACGUGCCAGCAGCCGCGGUAAGACGUAGGGGGCGAGCGUUGUCCGGAAUUACUGGGCGUAAAGGGCGUGUAGGCGGCUUUUCAAGUCGGCUGUGAGAUUCCCCGGCUUAACCGGGGGGGUGCAGUCGAAACUGAUGGGCUUGAGUGCAGGAGAGGGUGGUGGAAUUCCCGGUGUAGCGGUGACAUGCGUAGAUAUCGGGAGGAGCACCGGUGGCGAAGGCGACCUCCUGGCCUGUUACUGACGCUGAGGCGCGAAAGCUGGGGGAGCAAACAGGAUUAGAUACCCUGGUAGUCCCAGCUGUAAACUCUGGGUACUAGGUGUGGGGGGCUUCGAUGCCCUCUGUGCCGUAGUUAACGCAUUAAGUACCCCGCCUGGGGAGUACGAUCGCAAGGUUGAAACUCAAAGGAAUUGGCGGGGGAGCACA